rnacentral:lncRNA from 1 species
UUGACAGUGAUCCAAAGUCGUGUAGCAUUAAAGCCUAUCAUGUCCCUCUCUCCCAUCUUUAAAAUAUUCAAUAUAUUUCAAGGAAAUAUCUCUAAUAAACUUGGCAAUGAUCCAAAGUUGUGUGGCAUUAAAGUGUAUCAUGUCCCUCUAUUCCAUCUUUAAAAUCUUCAAGAUAUUUCAAGAAAACAUCCCUAAUAUACUUGGCAGUGAUCCAAAGUCGUUUAGCAUUAAAGCCUGUUGAAAUAAAAGUUUAUUUGAUUUUGAUGAUUAAGCUAAGUCAAGUUUAAACACUGAUUAAAAUCGUAUUAAGGAAGAAAAAAUAAACAAACACAUGCUAAACUUAUAUUAGUCACAAACAAAUUUAUUUUAAGAAGAAAAGGACUACAAAGAUUGAUAAAACAACUUAGAAUUCCAAGAACUAAAGUCAACUGGUUUACAUUCGUAAAAGAAACAACAGUGGUAUUGAAAGUAAAGCUAAUCAUGUUUAAAGUGAGAAUUGAAACUCUCUACAAAUCAUAUUCAAUGCUAUCAUUCACGCAAAAAUGGUAGAAAAGCUAAAUAAAAGAUUGAACUCAAAUUGAAUAGUUAACCGCCCAAAUUGAUAAAAAGACAAAGCAUAAACUGCUAUUGUCACAAGUUCAAUCUACCGAAUUAAUUGACCAAAACUUAAGAGUUUCAACCAAAGUCUGAAGGUUCAAAAUAAUUGCCCAAGUUGCUCACUCAAAAUAUAGUUCAGACAACACCAAAGUUCACAUUAGGUCGACCAAAGUUAAAGAAGGUACAACGAGAAAGUGAAAUAGAGGACAUGCGUGCUCACUAGAAAAACAGGUUUACUACGACCAAAUUUUAUAUUCGGUCGAUUGAAGUUAAGAAAAUCACAGCUGAAUUUAAAACAGAGCAACUAAGUGCUCUCUAGAAUUGAAGAACAACGUCUAUCAAACUUGACAUUCGGUUGACCGAAAGGAAAAAGCCCUCGACCGAAGUUAUAAAUCACUUAGUAGACAGAAUGAACAAGCCAUUAGAAUUUCAUUACAACCACGAUCGAAGUUCAAGGUCGGUUGGCCGAAGGUGUCGAUUGAAGUUCGAAAAGUUGAUCCUGAUUGUCCAAAUAAAGAUUUAACGGCUGAGAUUCAAUCAGAAUGACUAGAUCAGAAGUAUCAAAUUCUGUAACGACUCUAAUAUACUUUUGGCUUAUAAAUACAAUUUUGGGGGUUGUUGGUAAUAUAUUGAAGUGCCAUAUAUUUUUAAAAUCACUUGUAUUCAAUACUUCAAUCCCUUUAUCAUUUACUUAUGAGUUUUGAUUUGUGAGAGUUAGAUCACUCUAGACAAAAAGAAAGUUUCAUUAUAAUUAUCCUUGUUCUAGAAUUGGUUAGAUAAGAGUUACUUUAACUACCACAGCUUGUUGGAAAAAUCAAUAUAAGUUCUAGUGUUUGUAAAGGUUGUGAAGAUCAAUAUAGUUCCCAAGAGAUGGAGUCUCUUGAACACUAGAAGAGUUCUAGUGUUUGUAAAGGUUGUGAAGUACCCGCAAACUUGAAGAUAAUAAAUUUUCAAGGAGAAUCUUAAAGAGUAGACGUAAAUCGAGAUUUGUCAGACCACUAUAAAUCUACGUUCCAAUCGAGUUUUAAAAAACAAUUAUAACUAAACAACGUAUAUUGCAAAUAACUAAACAUCUUCUAUUGUAGAGCACAACUUAUGUAAAACCUUGAUAAUUCAAACAUAAAAAUAAGCUUUUUAAGAUGUUCUUGACCCACAAAUAAAAAGCAAAAUUUGUGACGAGCUUUCUAAAACAUGAAAAAGCGAAAACUGCAACCACCAAAAUUGUGGGCAAUACUCCGAGGAUUCUUAGGGCAAGUAUUUGACGCUGACCUGGAACACAUGUCUCGCUCUUUGAUUAAAGCAUAUGCUCAAAUCACAUUUUUAAAGAUAAAAUCACGCUUAUUUUCAUUAUUUUACGAAUAAAAAGUUUUAAUACAUCAUUACUGCACUGUCAACACAAUUGUGAUUGGAGAGGGAAAUUUCAUUGUUUUCACCAAGUCCAAGUCUACUACUGUUGAGUUGUAAACAAAUCCAUAGUAUCAAGACCAAACCCCCCCAGUUCCCAAAUCAAAACACUUGGCCUUGAAAUAUGUUAAAUCAACAAAUUUUUUUCCAUGCAAAGUAAGUAGUGCGGUUUUGUGGAGGUUGCUGGUGAAUGAGUUAAAGGGUAUUUUUUUUAACGACCUAGUUCCUUUAAAGUUGGAAUUUGGAUUGCUCCAGUGCAAUUCAAAUUUUUUGAGUUCACUUUUGGGCUAAGUUUGAUCAUUCAAAAUGUUUAUAUUGUAAACUCUAAUGUCAAGAUCAGUAUUACAAAAAGAUCGCGUUGAUCGAACACAAUCUAGAAUCCGUUUAUUACUGUCUCAUAUUCGAAACUUCUGAAGUGUCAUCAAUUUUUAAUUUGGGUUUAAAUCCAUUGUUAAUGGACAGUGAGAUUAAUUCUUUAAAUUAGUGGGUCCUUGAGACAGAUACCGAAUUAUUAAAAAUAGUAUAUUUGUGGAAACUAUUAGUACAAUUAAUUUAUUAGGAACGAAAGAGAUUAGGAGCUUUUAGUCCCUGCUCUUUUACUCCUACUAUCCAUUGCCUUCAAAACAAAUGAAUGUGUGUAUGUUUUUAUCACUUCAAUCCAUUCCUAACAACCCCAAGGGUUAAUUUUAAAAGUUCCAAAUUGGAUAGAGACGUUGCAUCAUUAAUUGCACUAAAAAGAACCGUUCUGAUUUGAUUUCAGUCAUUGGAUCUGAGAUUUUGAUAUGCUAGAGUGAAAUUUAAAAGUUCGGUCGUGUACUUUCUAAACUUCGGUCGACCGAACUUUAACUUCAGUCAUGUUUGAACUGAAUCUCUAGUUGCUAAGUUAAUUGCUCUAUUUUACUUUCCUGAACUUCGAUCGUCCCUAAUUUGGACUUUAGACUUCGGUCAACUAAAUUUUAAGUUCGGUCGUUUUUGUACUGCAUUUUCAGGGGUUUGCUUAGAUACUCUGCUUCAUCUUUUGAAUUUGGCUUCUACCUUAAAGAUUCGGCUGUGCUCUGAACUUUGGUCGUGUACUUCUGAAUGUUCGGUCGACCAUUAAGUUGGAUUGUCAUUAGCUUGUUUUUCCAGAGAGCUUUUACUUACAUUAUUAAUUUGAGAGUUCCUAGCAUUCGGCUGUGCUUUGGGACUUCAGUUCUUGAACUUUGGUCGAUCCUUCUUGGACUUCGGUCGCCUCUGAACUGAGUUUCCUGAGAGCAUACUCUGUUCUUAACAAUAAUCUUUGUUUUGCUUGUGUUAGCAUUCGACGUUUCAAAACUCUUUUUAGAUCUACCCAAGUCUAUUUCUAAGACCACCCUUUAUUUUUUCUUUUUAUCGAUGAUUUUCAAACGCAACUUAGUUUUAAUCCUUUUGUAAUCAUCAAAAUUAAUUACUUUAUUUUAAUAAAUAUAAUUUAUUUUGUAAAAGAAAAGUGUAAUUUUUUUGAUGGUGUCAAUUGACCCCACGACCAUUGUGACAUAUACCCCGAGGAUUCUUACGGUAAGUAUUUUAGGUUGACGGAACACAUGUCUCAGUCUUUGAGUAAAGCAUACGCUCAAAAUCACAAUUUUUAAAGAUAAUUCACACUAUUUUUCAUUAUUUCACCAAUAAAAUAGUAUCAAUACAUCACUACUGUCAGCACUAUUGUGGUUGGAGAGAGAAAUUUGAUUAUUUUAUCAAGUCCAAGUCCAAGUCCAAGUCCAAGGCCAAGUCCUGCUGAGUUGUAAACAAAUACAUAGUGGCUCAAGACCAAACCCCACAGUUUCCAAAUCAAAACACUUUGGCUUUGAAAUAUGUUAAAUCAACAAUUUUUUUCCACGCAAAAUAGUUACUGUGGUUUUGUGGAGGUUGUUGGUGCAUGAGUUAUGGAUAUUUUUUUAACGACCCUGUUUCUUUGAAGUUGGAAUUUGGAUUGCACAAGUGCAAUUCAAGUUUUUUGAGUUCACUUUUGGACCCUGUUUGAUCAUUUAAAAUAUUUAUAUUGUAGACUCUGAUGCCAAGAUCAGUAUUAAAAAAAGACCACGUUGAUCGAAUAAAUUUAGAAUCCGUUCAUUACUAUCCGGAUUCGAAACUUCUUAGGUGUUACUAAUUCUUAAUUUGGGUUCAAACCCACCAUUAAUGGACAGUGAGAUUAAUUUUCUAGAUUAGUGGGUCCUUGAAUCAAAUACCGAGUUAUCAAAAAUACUAUAUUUGUGGAAACUAUUAGUACAAUUAAUUUGUUAGGAAUGUAAGAGAUUAGGAGCUUUUAGUCCCUGCUCUUUUUGGCCUACUAUCCCUUUCCUUGCAAACAUAUGUAGUGUAUCCCAUCUUUAAAAUUUUAGAACUCAGUAAUUUUCUUGUAAGUUGUAACUCAUUAGUAUCCACAAGAAAUAUCAAAAAUAGUCACCUCUCCGCCGUAAAAACUCUUUGCCACGGAAGGACUAGGUUGGCAAUUGGUGGGGUUGCAAUAACUUUUUGCGUUGACAUCAGACCAUGGCAAACACUGUUGCUACACUUUUCAACUAAUAAUCCCAAGGCAAAAAAUAACAGUAUAAAUUGUUACUCUAAAACAUUAAUCCCUCAUGGCUUAUAAAUUUUCAACAUGGUCUAGUCAAAUCCAUAUUACUAUUAAAACGAAAGAUGUUUGUCGACUUUUCAAUUCCCAAAAUGCCCUUGGUUCAAUAAAAAAAGGAAUAUUGAAGUUGUGAUUUUGUUUUUGAGGAAAAAAAAAACUUACUCUCACUUAGACACGUAAAACCAAGCCUUUUAUUUUACUCCUCCAGAAUUCAUUCUAUUCAUUCCAGCCAUAACAGACAACGCUUCGGUAAUCCUAUCAACUCCAUUGUGUCUUCUUCAAUUGCCCAAUAGCUUCUUCUUCACUCUUAUCUUCGAAAGAAACUUUCCCUUGAUUGUUUAUGCUAUCUAACCUAAAAUCAUUCAGAGAGCAGGAGAGGUGGAAAUAAUAGCAGCUUUUCUAAAUGAACCCUAUUAUUUAGGAGAUGUCUUUCUACUUGGGAAGUGGAGCAAACAUAGUCUACUUCAAAUGAAAAUUGAGGAGUGGAUUCCGGUUACGGAUAAGAAUGAUUCUCUCAAAUUGAAAUGUUAAAGGAUGCAUAUAAAUCAUAAUAUUAAGUCUGCCUUGGUGUCAAAUUGUGAUAUUUAGUAAGUUAAAAAGAGGAUAUUCUUAUUCAAGGGAGGAAUAAUGAUGGGGAUGUCUUUUCAUCUCUAGAUCAGAAGAAUAUACAACACAUUUACAUCUAUAUUAUGAAUCUCCUCUCUAUCCCAACUUUAAAAUCUUCCAGAUAUAUUAAGAAAGCAUCCCUAAUAAACUUGGCAUUGGUCCAAAAUCGUGUAGCAUUAAACCUUAUCAUGUCCCUCUCUUUCAUCUUUAAAAUCUUCAAGAUAUUUCAAAAAAACAUCCCUAAUGAACUUGACAGCGGUCCCAAGUCGUGUAGCAUUAAAUCCUAUUGUGUCCCUCACUACAAUCUUUAAAAUCUUCAAGAUAUUUCAAGGAAACAUCCCUAAUAAACUUGACAAUGAUCCAAAGUUGUGUAGCAUUCUCUCCCAUAUUUAAAAUCGUCAAGAUAUUUUAUAGAAACAUCCCUAAUAAACUUGAUUGUGAUUCAAAGUAGCGUGUUAUGUCCCUCUCUUUUAAAGUAUAAUUUAUUUAUUUAUUUUAUUAAUUAAUUCCAGAUAUCAAGUCAACACAUGGUAGGCUUUUAAAAUUACAUUUUGUGGCUGAAGAUGGUACCUUGUCAUUCAAAAUAUUGACCCUUGCCGAUGGUGUGAAUUGACUGCAAGCGGAGGACAAUUACACACAUUGUCUUGGCCUUGGGAUAUUUCUCAUCUAAACUAAAAAUUUGGACUGUAAAUGGUGGCAGUUGACAAAAUGGGCCCAUCAAUGGAUGAGUACUAACAAAAGAAUUUAUUAAAAACCGAAAGAUCUCUUAAAAAAGCCAAAAUUUUGGAGACUUGUUAGACAUAUAAUUUGGGGCCAAUUUUGAACAAAAACAAAUGAGGAAUUCAUACGUCUUUUUAACCGGAUCCAAAUUCGAAUAUGCUUAUCUAUGUGAGAUGAUUAACAUCCGAUAUUUUUUUUAUUCAAAACGAAUAAAGAGUGAAUGAAAAAUUGACACCAAAAUUCACUAGUUGAAUAUUAGGUGAAGAAUGGUUAAAAAAAUUGUUCCGCAUUGGUCAUUUAUGAGACCUUUAGUGGGUUUACAGGCUUCUCCUUGAACUUGGGCUUGGACUAAGGGGCAACCAGGUUCUGUGGAGGAGGGAGGACCUAGCACCUUAUGUGUUGACCUUUUCAAAAGUUUUUAUUUUUCAGCACCUUAUUAUUUUUUAUAUAUGAUUUUAAAGCGGUUCAAAAGUUUCUUAUAGUUGUGGUAAUUGGGUCCUUUCAUUACGUAGUUCGGCCAUAUGCUUACGUAUAUGGGCAGUCAAAUGAGCAAAAACUUUCAUUAACAAAUUAAACGAUUGCUCUGAAGAGUUACAAAGGAGAAUUGUGUGAAGAACUUUCUCUCCAAAGCCCCACCAAAAUCAAAUAUAAAUUUUCUCCAAACCUUAACUAGAAUCAAACCAAAAACUUUGUCAAACAAAAGGAUUAAAGAUUCAACCAAAGUCCUCAAUUGUGGCACCAAAGGAACUACAAAGUUCGUCCAAAUACUAAGGGUCAACCCAGUCCCCUAUAGGGGGCUUCAAAGGAACUAUGAAGUUUAACAAAUAUGAGAGUCUUUCCAAAUUUAUAACUAUGGAAUCCCUCAUAAAAAGAUAGUGUAUGGAAAUCUAUUACUUUCUUGUAGUGAUUUCUUUUAUUUUACUUUUUGAUUUAUUUCUAAAAUAUGCAGGGUUCCAUUUUAAGAGUUCGCUUAGGAAAAGCUUAGGGCCGGCCCCUGAUUAGAUUCAUGUAUAAGUCAGUAAAUAAAGAGAUUUCAUGCACUGUUGAUUCACUGUGAAAACAAAUUGAAGUAUUUUAUUUGUUCAGCGUACAAUCACUGUAUUUCAAGAGACAGACAUCUAAAACAGUAAACACAGUGAUGAAGGAAAAUUCUGCAUUCAAGGACAUAGUGUUAAACACGAGCCUUGAUUAUUCUCCUUCGAAUUGCUCAUUGCAGAUUCUACAAUUAUUUAUACAAAGCAUAUCUUCUUCUGCAAUCAGUCUUUUGUGUUCAAACCACAGGAUCUGUUUCUGAUUUUGUCUCUAAAGUAAUUGUUGUUUCCAAAACAGUUUUGUGUUAUGUUUAUGCAAAAUUAGAGUUUUUAAAUAAUUUAGUUUCUGCAAAUUAAAUCUGUUUCUAUAAUUAUAUAUAUCCAAAUGUAUGGAAUGAUUUUUCCUUUUAGCUCUCAUUCAUAUUGAUACUAGCGGAGGUACUAGACCUCAUAGGAAUCAAACUAAGUAAUUGUGGGGUUGUUGUUAUACGAAAGGAGGAGAGGAAAUCGAGGAUAGACACCCGCGGUGGUCCUAGAGCUGCGUGGGUGGCU